AUUGAACGCUGGCGGCAGGCCUAACACAUGCAAGUCGAACGAGUGGCGGACGGGUGAGUAAUGUCUGGGAAACUGCUUGAUGGAGGGGGAUAACUACUGGAAACGGUACCUAAUACCGCAUACCAUUCGCUGUUCCCAGAUGGGAUUAGCUAGUAGGUGGGGUAAUGGCUCACCUCGGCGACGAUCCCUAGCUGGUCUGAGAGGAUGACCAGCCACACUGGAACUGAGACACGGUCCAGACUCCUACGGGAGGCAGCAGUGGGGAAUAUUGCACAAUGGGCGCAAGCCUGAUGCAGCCAUGCCGCGUGUAUGAAGAAGGCCUUCGGGUUGUAAAGUACUUUCAGCGGGGAGGCGUUACCCGCAGAAGAAGCACCGGCUAACUCCGUGCCAGCAGCCGCGGUAAUAC
rnacentral:rRNA from 1 species